AUAAAGUUUCAGACCUUACCCCGUGGGAGGAGCUCCAAAUUCAUUUAAAUGAGGAAGAAGGCGGAGGGAAGAUGACUGACGUAGAGUCUGAAUCACCCAUGCGGUCAAACCUAAAAAAACUUUCAAGGAGGGCGAAAAACUUUCAAGAAGGGCGAAAAGGGGGAGGAGGGUCUUUUUAAAGGCGAUCUCUGUUAUUUUUAAAAGGGGUUUUUUUUUAAGAAGUACAGUGUUUGUGCAAGUUACCUCUAAUUAGAAAACGGGGAGAGGACUCGAUAAGACUCUUUUGUCAGGACUUGAAUGCAACAUGUGACGCUAUUCACUUCAACCACUCCGGCCUGCCCUCCCUUCUCCUUCCUUAAAGGCGGGAUCAAACUGUUUCCUUGCAAAAUUUCCUUGCUCUCAGCCCCAUUUCUUUUUGUCUUUCUUUGAAGCAGCUUUCUGGGGCGCUGUUACAGUGCCCGUCUUCGCGAUUUCAUUUCCUCCAUUCCUCCAUGUUUAGAGGGAAACAAAAGCAAAAACUUGGGAGUCAACUUUAGACUUUCUUUUCACACCGAGCGCGCACAACUAAAGGGAAGUAUAUUUGAUGUCUCGGGCAGUUGAAACCUUAUGACUACGUUACUCGGAAGGAAAUCCCGAGUGAGCUCGAGCUGGGCUCAUUUCUGUGUGAGCUGAGUAGGGCAAGGCUGUGUGAUCUGAGGCACAUUUACUUGGAACAAACCGAUGCAGAAAUACAGCAAACUGAACCUAAGUUUUGAAAAAUGAGAAACUCAGAGGGAUGCUGAAAAUGACAACUCCAUCCAUGCUUCACACUGCUGCAUGACCAUCUGCUUGGUUUUGCAGUGUGAAAUAGAUUAACCUGGCUCUACCUCACAAGGUAAGGCAUACAGAAGAAGAUGAAAGGAAUUGGUGAAAGCCAGAGAAGAAAAACAUUGAAAGAGGAAACGCAAGGCCUGUGAUUCACCAAUGAGCCAAGGUACUGUGACCUGCCCUUUCCCCCUUCUUUGUUUUUACAGUCCCAGGCAGGCAGCAACAGCAUGAUGUUUCUCAAGAGGGUGGGCUGGAUUUGGUUUUCUGCAUUGCAAUGCUGCAGCUUUUACAGAAGCUGCGUCUAGUGGGAUUUAUUCUUUUUACCCAGCUCAUAAAAGCAAACUAGCCCUCUCGUAGUCUGGCUAGAGAGCAGGUGAGUCUAUCGAAGGUGAAUCACCUUUUUCUAAGGCAUAAUUUUCAUGGAUCACUUAAGAGAAGCUGGAAGACAGCCUGUCAUAGGGUGGCAGCUUGUAAACUGGAAAUCUGCCUGUCGCUUUAAAGAUUUCGAUGCAGCAGAAGAGGAUGCAGCUGCGAUACCACCCCUCCCUGCUGUGAGGCAAAACCAGAGUCCUCCUUGCUCUAGUUGCAGGUAGGAGGAUGCGCAGUGGCACUGUGCGAGGGGAAGCCGCAGCUGCAUCCUCUUUUUGUGACUGCUGAGUUGUUAAAGAGGCAGGUGGGAUUUCUGGGUUGCAACCUUGUAAGCCACAGGCAGGAAGACCCAAGCUGUGUGACCGGCCAGCUUGACUUCCUCAUCACCAAAAGGUUACAGAUUCACCUUCAUAUUCAGCCCAGUCCAUUGGCUUGGCUGACCCCUUGAGGAAGCAGGGGAGUGCCUAAGCGGUGCAUCAAGAGAGUUCAGCAUUUUCUAAACCGGCUAAUUAAAAUUAUCAGGUGUACUUCAAUCCACAGAGAAGUGUUAGUCAGGGAGGGCAUAUUUUCUUUGCUGGGAAACAGUUGCUAGGUGAGACCACUGAUAAGACAUCUUGCAGACCUAUGUUAAGAAAGCUGAAUCAAGUCAAUUAAAUGGAGGCUGAACUUCUGGCGGUAUAAUUGAUAACCAGGACAAAAUGAGCUCAUGAUAAGUGAGAGCAGAGAAGAUGGUGUGUUCUGCUGCUUUCCUUCCCCUUCUUUGUUGUUCAUUAUUAGAUGUUAAGAGUCUUUUGAAGCAGACUAAUAAGAUUUACAAGAAUGACUCACAGAUCACACAAGAUAGACCAGGUUGGACCUGUUUUGUCUCUUUCUUUAUGGCAUGCUGAAAACCCAGUGACAAGAGUUCUCUCUCAAAGCUUAAGAAGACGCUGAAUGACUUCAGAUUCACAGAGUUCAUUUCAAAUAGUUCACCUGUACAAUGGGCAAUUGUUUGCAGUGGAGUUUUUGGCUUAGACUUCCUCCUGCAGCCACUGUUUGGUGUCUCCUGUGUGUCAAUGUGACAUAUGAUUUAUGCAAAAAGAACGACAGACCAGUCCGUUUGUUGGAAACUUAUUGGUUGCAGUCCCAGGAUCUGCUGGUUCAGCUCUUCCAACACGUCAUUCCAUCAGGACACCUAGUGACCUGUUUAAUCUCCAGCUCUUCGCUUCUGACUUCUUCUUGUAAAUGAUUUAUCAGCUGGCGUGGAUCCCUGUUUGCUUAAGGAGGCGUGUAGUGACCUCUAGCAUGGCCUGUGUACAAAGAUGCAAACAGCAUCUUUGAUUGUGAACUUUUAUACAACAAGCAGAAGGCCACCUCAUGCCAUUUGAGGUUUCUGAAGACUUCGGUGAUUGAUUGUUGAAGCUUUC